rnacentral:rRNA from 1 species
CCUACGGGUGGCAGCAGUGGGGGAUAUUGGACAAUGGGGGGAACCCUGAUCCAGCGACGCCGCGUGAGUGAAGAAGUCUUUAUGUAUGGAAAGCUCUGUCAGCAGGGAAGAAAGACAUGACGGUACCUGACCAAUAAGCCCCGGCUAACGACGUGCCAGCAGCCGCGGUAAUACGUAGGGGGCAAGCGUUAUCCGGAAUUACUGGGUGUAAGGGGAGCGUAGACGGUUAAGUAAGUCUGGAGUGAAAGGCCGGGGCCCAACCCCGGGACUGCUCUGGAAACUAGUGAACUUGAGUGCAGGAGAGGUAAGCGGAAUGCGUAGUGUAGCGGUGAAAUGCGUAGAUAUUAGGAGGAACACCAGUGGCGAAGGCGGCGUACUGGACUGUAACUGACGUUGAGGCUCGAAAGCGUGGGGAGCAAACAGGAUUAGAUACCCGGGUAGUC